UAAUAUUCCUGCACCGUCGUAUGAUGCGAUGGGGGGACGGAUCGCGGAAGGUUGUCUGACUGUUGGAAUAGUCAGUUUCUGGUUCAUAGAAGGCGCUUAGGCAAAUCCGGGCGCAGGAUUCAAGGGAUCGGGACGAGGCAUUUAGGUGCUGAAGCAAUCGGAAGUGGUUCCAAGAAAAGCCUCUAAGCUUCAGUCAUACGAGACCGUACCGCAAACCGACACAGGUGGGCGAGAUGAGUAUUCUAAGGCGCUUGAGAGAACUCGGGAG
rnacentral:rRNA from 1 species